rnacentral:rRNA from 1 species
GCCGGGGUUUCUUUACCAGGUACCGUCAUUAUCUUCCCUGGCGAAAGAGCUUUACGACCCUAGGGCCUUCGUCACUCACGCGGCAUGGCUAGAUCAGGGUUGCCCCCAUUGUCUAAGAUUCCCC